AUAGUUAUAGCAGUUACUUUUGACAUACAAUGCUAAAAAGAGUAAUGGUACCCGCUGUUGUGUUUAUCUAAUAUUGAUUCCACUGUACGUUUAAUUUCCAUCAAAAUUAGUAAGUAAACUAACGAGAAAUAUUAGAGUUAUUAUGUCUGAGCUGGAUUUCAGAGAGUCGACACCAGAUGCAGAUUUCAUCAAGGACGAUUUGUUGAGACAAGUGAAUGGAGUAAUUGAAAUAAGAACUUGCCUGAAAGCUUGAUAAGGAGUGAGAAGACAAUACAUCGCAGAUGGACACUGGAUGAGGACGCAUCUGAAGACAAAGCAAACAUGCAUCUACAAAGUACCAAGUGUUCGUAACAAUUCAGUACUAUCGUGUACGAACAUUCGCAAUCUAAGUAUCCAAUUUAAGAAAAAAAUUCAUUUCAAUGAAUAACAUAAAUAUAGUAAAUAUUCAACGUUACACCGUGUUAUAUUCUAUUACAAAAUAAACUUAUUACAUUGC